UACGUAGGGGGCAAGCGUUGUCCGGAAUUAUUGGGCGUAAAGAGCUCGUAGGCGGCUUAGUAAGUCGGCGGUGAAAAUACCCGAGGCUCAACCUCGGCACUGCCGUCGAUACUGCUAUGGCUAGAGUUUGGUAGAGGAGAACGGAAUUCCCGGUGUAGCGGUGGAAUGCGCAGAUAUCGGGAGGAACACCCGUAGCGAAGGCGGCUCUCCUGGGCCAAUCUGACGCUGAGGAGCGAAAAGCGUGGGGAGCAAACAGGGA
rnacentral:rRNA from 1 species